rnacentral:rRNA from 1 species
ACGGGUGAGUAACGCGUGGGUAACCUACCCUGUACACACGGAUAACAUACCGAAAGGUAUGCUAAUACGGGAUAAUAUAUUUGAGAGGCAUCUCUUAAAUAUCAAAGGUGAGCCAGUACAGGAUGGACCCGCGUCUGAUUAGCUAGUUGGUAAGGUAACGGCUUACCAAGGCGACGAUCAGUAGCCGACCUGAGAGGGUGAUCGGCCACAUUGGAACUGAGACACGGUCCAAACUCCUACGGGAGGCAGCAGUGGGGAAUAUUGCACAAUGGGCGAAAGCCUGAUGCAGCAACGCCGCGUGAGUGAUGAAGGCCUUCGGGUCGUAAAACUCUGUCCUCAAGGAAGAUAAUGACGGUACUUGAGGAGGAAGCCCCGGCUAACUACGUGCCAGCAGCCGCGGUAAUACGUAGGGGGCUAGCGUUAUCCGGAUUUACUGGGCGUAAAGGGUGCGUAGGCGGUCUUUCAAGUCAGGAGUGAAAGGCUACGGCUCAACCGUAGUAAGCUCUUGAAACUGGGAGACUUGAGUGCAGGAGAGGAGAGUGGAAUUCCUAGUGUAGCGGUGAAAUGCGUAGAUAUUAGGAGGAACACCAGUUGCGAAGGCGGCUCUCUGGACUGUAACUGACGCUGAGGCACGAAAGCGUGGGGAGCAAACAGGAUUAGAUACCCUGGUAGUCCACGCUGUAAACGAUGAGUACUAGGUGUCGGGGGUUACCCCCUUCGGUGCCGCAGCUAACG